rnacentral:rRNA from 1 species
UACGAAGGGUGCAAACGUUGCUCGGAAUUAUUGGGCGUAAAGCGCGUGUAGGCGGCCAUGCAAGUCGGAUGUGAAAGCCCUCGGCUCAACCGGGGAAGUGCACUCGAAACUGCAAGGCUAGAGUCUCGGAGAGGAUCGUGGAAUUCUCGGUGUAGAGGUGAAAUUCGUAGAUAUCGAGAGGAACACCGGUGGCGAAGGCGGCGAUCUGGACGAUGACUGACGCUGAGACGCGAAAGCGUGGGGAGCGAACAGG